rnacentral:tRNA from 1 species
UGGUAGCAGUGGACUUUGUGCCACGUAUGGAGAUUUACAGCCUCCCACCUAUCCUCGGUCAUCCUACC